rnacentral:lncRNA from 1 species
UUGGUGAUUCUUAUGAAAACAUGAAGUCAUAUAAGAACAAAUCCUGAAACAUAUUAUGUUUUAAAAUACUAUCUGUCUCAAUAAAAUGUUCCGUGCAUCGGAAUCUCAUAAUAUAUAAGCAUGAAUAGAGUUAGCUGGAAGCAUACUUAUUACGUUGAACCUAGCUAUAAUAUCAAUGGAAACAAUGAUAUAAUUGAAACUCCAUUCUCCAACCAAAAGAAAACUACAACCAUAAUAAUAUCUAUGCUUAAAUGAAAGAGUUACGAUAUUGAUAUUCACUGGUAACAACCAGGACAAUAUUUAGACUUGAAUCUAAGAAAAAUGCCUUAGUAUAAAGCAUUGAGAUAAGCUAAUUACUUGUGUGGAUAAAGUGUGAUGGUUAUUGGUAUCCCGUGAGGAUGAUGACUAGAACAGUGCUUGUAUGAUAAAUAAGCAAUAACACUUGGCCACUGUUAUUUCUUGUUUAUUGAUACUACUCGGUUCUAGAAUAUGAUCCAUCAUGAGAAUACUAAUUUUCUUGUUCCUUGAUAUAAGCCAUAAUAAAUGAUGUACUUCUGAAAUCAUUAUUUGAGAAAAUUCUAUUUAUGGGAAAUACAAUGAUAACUACCUCUCCGGCAAGUCUGGGUAUGAUGUGGUAUACACUCCAGCUUGUCCGGGUGAGAUGGGGGUACCUCUCCGGCAAGACCGGGUGAGAUGAGGUAUAUGUAUUUUAAUGGAAUUCCCUAAAAUAGUACAAUGAUUUGAUGUCUGACCUGUUUUUGGAAAUAUGAAUAUGAUAAAUACACUAGCCUAAUGAAUAGUGUGUAUGUUACAAUAUGUGAGAUAUAUGAUUAUAUAGAUAUGUAUAUCUAUGAGGAAAUCCAAAGACCAUAUUGAUUGACAAUUAGGAAAAAAUUGCGAACAAGUGUGUCAAGGAUAAUUUUAGACUUAAUUAUCAGGAAUCUCUCGUAUACAUCUAUAAUUCCGAUAUCAAACACUAUUUCGUUUGAUCGUCAGUCUCGAAACUCGUGCGACAAGAUGAACAACGGAAACCCUAUAAGUUGGGACGCCAUGGAAAGUAUAAGAUUUCUCUUUGCGAUUAUUAAUGCAUUAGGAAGCCUGUAACCAAAAGUUGUGCUAAGACACAAAACAUCUAAAAACUUAUGAAGAGUCGUUUUACCUCUUGAGAAGAUAAGAGUAACCACGACCAUAUAUACUUACAAGAACUCUUUUUCCCUAUAAUUCUACUAAGAUUUACCAUUUGGAACCCUUAAAUUUAUUUGAAAAGAUAGGAAUACGUACCUAACUGAUAAAUCUUUAGUUGUACCUCUUCAAAGUUAUAAAGGUAAAUGAAGAAUUUAAAUCCAUUAAAAGAUCAUACAAAUUAAAGGUAAGAAUAUAAAAGCAUAGAGAAUAGUUCUGGUCAAAGUAAAGUGAAAUUCAAAAUAAAGACAAGAAUAUAUCUAGAAACUAAACUAACUAAAAAUAUUCAUAUAUUUUAGGGAAUCUCGAGGACGAGAUUUAAAACAAGGUGGGGAGGAUGUAACAUUCCCAAAAUUUGUAUUUAUAUAAAAUAUAUCAAAACUUAUGUUAUUAAAAGGAUGCAUCAUGGGUAAGUUGACCAAUGAAAAUAUAAUGUACUUUGAGCAAGCGUAGGAACCAUUUAAUAAUUAGAUUUUAAAAAAAAAUACAUUAUAUUUGAACCUACUCUAUUUUUAAUGAAACUUGGUUCAAAAUGUAGAUAAAAAUAUGCUCGUCCUAAUGGCAUAUUCAUUAUUUUAUAAAACAUCAUAUUUUAGAAGUUAUAAGUGCCAAUUGAGUGAAGUAGUUAAAUUAAUUAUAAUAAUAAAACUAAAACUAAUAUAUGAAAAAUGUAAGUGUACGUGUACCUAAAGAAUCACAAAAGAAUUGAAAUUGUGAAUUUAUGGUUAGGUAUACGUGUAUGUUCAAUUAAUAGAAAGGAAUCUUUCAACUUGUCCAACAAGUUUUACACCAACUAUAAAUAAGAGCAUAUGGCAACUCUUAUUUUCUCACAUACCUGCUUUCAAUCACCCCUCUCUCUUUCUAUACAUAUAUUCAAUUUUUAUUAGUAAAUUUCACCUAUAAUAAUAAUAAAGUCCAGCCCCGUUUUAAAGUGUUUUAACCCUUGAUCACUGAUACCCUGUCCGACUGACGUAGGGCCCCGUAACGUAUGUCAAGGCUCUGCCUAAAUUCGUUGGGGUUCUGUCUCGUGACGUAGGGGUAAGGUAGAAUUGGGUUACUAUACUUAAUGUGAGUGCACUAUAUAUUUUAUUAGAUAUCCCAGGAGUUAUACCCAAAAUAUAACAACUCUCCUAAAACACCCCUGACACCCCUACACUUCCUGAAAUACAUCCCAUACGUGAAAACCGAGUCCGAAUUAUAAUAUAGUAUUAAAAAUAAAUGGAAAACAAGAAAAAGUAAGUUGAGGCGGGCCGCGUAGACCCACCCCAAACUUAACGCGGGCCGUGUGAGGGUGUAACUGGACUCCGCUGAAUUCUUUAGUUCAUGCGGGCCGCGUAAGGCCACACCGUUAGUUUAUGCGGGCCGCGAGUGUCCCAAUUGGUGGCGCAGCCCGGUGAUGACACGUGUCAUCAUCGUGGCAAGGCUAGAUCAUGACCAGGACAAGCUACGCGUUGACCCAGUAUUGACGCGGGCCGCGUAAGCCUUGCCUGUUCUUUACGCGGGCCGCGUGGGAACCAGUUUCAGCAACUAUAUAAGGAACGCAUCGGAUUUCAAUUCAGUUCGCUCAUUUCUCAAUUCUCAAUCACAAUUUCUGUAGAAGGCUUAUUAUACUCGGGUAUUAUACCCCCUAAUUAGCGAAGCUCUGCCUCGUUACUAUAACCAGGGAAUCACAAAGGAAAGCCCUAUAAUAGCAAUGUGAGUUGAUCCACUUUUUGUUAAAUGCUUUUACAAAACCUUACAUACUUUUCCAUGUGAAUGACAGUUAUUGAGUAUUUGUAACUUAGUGUGAAGCCAAUAAAAGCCAGCUGGAGAGCACUGAAGGCUUGGAAAAGUGGCUAUAAAGUUACCUAAAAUAAAAUAGAUGUUUUUAUUAAUAAAAAUAGGAUUUAUUCCUAUGAAAGUGUGUAUACUGAAAACUUGGGUUUUACCCAUGUGUUUAAUAUUAUGAAAAUAUGGUGGUUUUACU